rnacentral:rRNA from 1 species
UACGUAGGUGGCAAGCGUUGUCCGGAUUUACUGGGCGUAAAGAGCGCGCAGGCGGCCUUGUAAGUCGAAUGUGAAAGCCCCCGGCUCAACUGGGGAAGGUCAUUCGAUACUGUUCGGCUUGAAGAUAGGAGAGGGAAGCGGAAUUUCAGGUGUAGUGGUGAAAUGCGUAGAUAUCUGAAGGAACACCAGUGGCGAAGGCGGCUUUCUGGCCUAUUCUUGACGCUGAGGCGCGAAAGCUAGGGGAGCGAACGGG